CAAUAGCGUAUAUUUAAGUUGUUGCAGUUAAAAAGCUCGUAGUUGGAUUUCGGGUGGGACGCAGCGGUCUCGCAUUGCGUUUGUACUGCUGCAGCCCUCCUUCUUGCCGGGGGCGGCCUCUCGGACUUCACUGUCUGGGGGUCAGAAUCGGCGAUGCUACUUUGAGUAAAUUAGAGUGUUCAAAGCAAGCUUACGCUCUGAAUAUAAUAGCAUGGGAUAACACGACAGGACUCUGGCCUAUCGUGUUGGUCUAUAGGACCAGAGUAAUGAUUAAGAGGGACAGUCGGGGGCAUUCGUAUUCCGUUGUCAGAGGUGAAAUUCUUGGAUUUACGGAAGACGAACAUCUGCGAAAGCAUUUGCCAAGGAUGUUUNCAUUGA
rnacentral:rRNA from 1 species